rnacentral:rRNA from 1 species
AUUGAACGCUGGCGGCAUGCCUUACACAUGCAAGUCGAACGGCAGCACGGACUUCGGUCUGGUGGCGAGUGGCGAACGGGUGAGCAAUAUAUCGGAACGUACCUUUCAGUGGGGGAUAACUAUCCGAAAGGAUAGCUAAUACCGCAUAUUCUGUGAGCAGGAAAGCAGGGGAUCUUCGGACCUUGCGCUGAUUGAGCGGCCGAUAUCAGAUUAGCUAGUUGGUGGGGUAAAGGCCUACCAAGGCGACGAUCUGUAGCGGGUCUGAGAGGAUGAUCCGCCACACUGGAACUGGGACACGGUCCAGACUCCUACGGGAGGCAGCAGUGGGGAAUUUUGGACAAUGGGGGCAACCCUGAUCCAGCCAUGCCACGUGAGUGAAGAAGGCCUUCGGGUUGUAAAGCUCUUUCGUCCGGGAAGAAAUCGCAUUGGUUAAUACGAGCUGAGGAUGACGGUACCUUGAUAAGAAGCACCGGCUAACUACGUGCCAGCCGCCGCGGUAACAC